rnacentral:tRNA from 1 species
UGAAAGUAAGUGUUUCGCACAUAUAAAUUUGAGUUAUAGAGAGGAAGCAAAUAUCCACUUUCAU